GUUCUCUUAAUGCUCUGCCUACUAAAGGUGAUGUCACUGGGACCAUGAGGGUCUCCCACAGAUUCCAGCGCCAUCUUGUUACACGAGGUAGUUAGUCAGUGUUAGAGGGAGGGGUUGGAAGCUUCUAGUGGCCAUUUUGUCUAAUCACAUUAAUAGCUUAUGCGCUGAUUACAGUUAGAUGAGUAAAUAGACAUUUUACUAACUAAAAAUUAUGUCAAUAUCUCAUUUCCACAACAGUCCCC